rnacentral:lncRNA from 1 species
AUAUGUGCCACUUGAUGUUUAUUGUACGUAUUUUGAUAAAUGACAUAAGUGUGCUGAACAGCAUUCACGUGAACAUCUUAUUCACUGUGAAUUGACAAGUGUUAAGCAACUUUGCGUACACUGACAUUGUCCAUAUUGCAUGUAUGUAAUUGUAUUGUCCUCUCUGUUAUGACCCUCUAUGAGGGUUGACAGUAUUAAUAAAUAAAAUAAAUAAAUAUAAAAAGA